UUUACAAUGGUUUACUACUACCAAUAAAAAAACCCCGUUAAAAACAUUUUGUGCUCAGCCAGGAAAUAGUUUCUGGUAGUUGAGUUACUACUAUAAGUUGCGAGCAUCAAGCUAACAAUGCUACAGCUAUAGACAUACGUAGACGCCGACUUAGUGAGCGAGUCGGCCAGUUCCUAUGAUACGUCACGUCUGCCAGUCAGACUCGUAAUGCACGCAGAAGCAAAAAGUAUUGUAAAGACGCUGACGCUGACGUGUUUCAGUGUGUUUACCACUCACGUCUGCCUGAACAAUGUCGGGAGGAUAAAUACGGGAAGUAAAAAAAAAAGUAUCCAACGUGGUGCAUGUGUUAUCAGACAGAAUGGAUCACGACAUUCCUGAUUAUAUGACCUGCCAAAAUCCUCUGGUCUGUAAUGCUCUUUCUUUCUAACAGCGAUUUCUUAUUAGCUCUCGCAUUAAAUAAAACUAUACAGAAUGAAAAAUGUUAGCUAUACUAAGAAAAUAAAAAUCAGAGUAGUUACUUCUGGCCAAUAUAAUUACAUGGGAAAUAUUUAUUGGCUCAGAAGCUGUCGUUUGGCCACAAAGUCAAGAAAUUCUGUUCAUAAAAUUGUGUUCUUUCUUUCUUACCUGUGAAAGGUAAUGCUAAUGGAGCCAGCUUGUACUAUAAAAUGAGUGAAAAAACUCCACACAAGUUCCCCACUGACAUUUGCUAUUUUUACUAAUUCUUUUCUAAACAUUUUCUAUGAAACGGCAACACUUUGUUAGAGGUUCCGUUUCCCCUAGGAAAGGGCAUGAACUUGUGACAAUUUAAUCUGUUACUCUUUUUGCUUUAUUAUGUUUUCCAUGAAAUGUUUAAUUUAUUUAAAUUCUUAUGUGUUUAGCUUUGUCAUUUUCUUUUAUGUUUUCUUUUAUCUUAUCGCUGAUGUUUAGCACUUUAUUUCAGCUCUGGCUGCUGUUAAAGUGCUUUAUAAAUAAAGUCGAUAAUGAUCAUGAACAAAAACAGGUUAGUCGGUCCAGUAGCUGAGAAGUUUGAAUGCUGAACAUACAGCCACAGUCUGUUUCCCCUGACCUACACACUGGAAGUGGGGAUCUAUUAACACUAAGUAAUAGGAAGUGAUACUUGGCAUAACAUGACUGGCUUGUUUUUUUUCCUAGGGUCAGUUGAGAAUGAAAAGACAGGGAGGCAGGAUAGACAGCUUCUUUAUAAAAAGAAGCAAAUCAGGCACAGAUCAAACAGGGUUCAGCUCUGACAUCAGCAGUCCUGGUAGCUCAUGUCCUGAGAACAGUCACGAGAAAGAAAGUCUGGCAAACACCAAUCCACCAUCACCAGGUCAGAGUAUCUACAGAAACAGUCAAAUUCCUGCCCCGUUUUAGGUUAUUUUUACUUGCUGGCUUCUGCUAAUGUGUUUCUUUAAUUGUUGGUUCAAUUAUGUUAAUGUACUGUUUUUACAACGUAGUUCCAUCAAAGGAGGAGUCUGAAAACACAGAAAGCUCUGCGCCUGACCAGGAUGAUGAUGAGCCAGAAGGGGCAAUUGCAGGAGAUACCACUGAUCUCUUCUCAGCAGUGUCCAGCACUCCUUUUGCUUUUCCAAAAGGACCCAGUGAUAUUUCAAAGUCAAAAGAACAGGGCCCUGUUCAGCCAAGUUUGACAAACUUCCCCAGAACUCAGCAUGGAACAAGAAAGAGAACUUUUCACAGCUCCUGGUACAAAGACUAUUCUUGGUUAGAAUAUUCUGUUAUUAAAGACUCCUCCUACUGCUUUGCCUGUAGGCAUUUUUCUUUGCCUAAUGCACCAGAUAGUGUCUUUGCUUCGCAUUCCGGCUUCAGUAAUUGGAAAAAGGCAUUGUCCAAGGAGUCUGGAUUUAAGCUUCACUCAAAGUUAGAGCACCAUGUAAAUGCAAUGUAUGCAUGGAGUCAAUAUAAAAGGGCUAAUGAGG